UAGGGAAUCUUCGGCAAUGGACGAAAGUCUGACCGAGCAACGCCGCGUGAGUGAAGAAGGUUUUCGGAUCGUAAAACUCUGUUGGUAGAGAAGAACGUUGGUGAGAGUGGAAAGCUCAUCAAGUGACGGUAACUACCCAGAAAGGGACGGCUAACUACGUGCCAGCAGCCGCGGUAAUACGUAGGUCCCGAGCGUUGUCCGGAUUUAUUGGGCGUAAAGCGAGCGCAGGUGGUUUAUUAAGUCUGGUGUAAAAGGCAGUGGCUCAACCAUUGUAUGCAUUGGAAACUGGUAGACUUGAGUGCAGGAGAGGAGAGUGGAAUUCCAUGUGUAGCGGUGAAAUGCGUAGAUAUAUGGAGGAACACCGGUGGCGAAAGCGGCUCUCUGGCCUGUAACUGACACUGAGGCUCGAAAGCGUGGGGAGCAAACAGGAUUAGAUAC
rnacentral:rRNA from 1 species